rnacentral:rRNA from 1 species
CAGCAGCAGCCACGGGAACACGGAGGGUGCAAGCGUUAAUCGGAAUUACUGGGCGUAAAGCGCACGCAGGCGGUCUGUCAAGUCGGAUGUGAAAUCCCCGGGCUCAACCUGGGAACUGCAUUCGAAACUGGCAGGCUAGAGUCUUGUAGAGGGGGGUAGAAUUCCAGGUGUAGCGGUGAAAUGCGUAGAGAUCUGGAGGAAUACCGGUGGCGAAGGCGGCCCCCUGGACAAAGACUGACGCUCAGGUGCGAAAGCGUGGGGAGCAAACAGGAUUAGAUACCCGCGUAGUCCCUGUCUCUUAUAC